GGCUUAGAACAGACUGCAGCUAUUAGGCGUCAGUCGAUGGAAAUGGCAAGCCCCCGGUCAAUCGUGACACUGGGCUCGUUUCUUCUGAUAUUUUACUCCUUCAACCUACCAAAAGAAACGUCAGCUCAAGAGAGUUGCAGAGGAAGAUGUGGUAACAAGUACGAG